AUACCGGCUGCUCGAGUGAUGGCCACUAUUACUGGGUUUAAAGCGUCCGUAGCUUGACUGUUAGGUCUCUUGGGAAAUCUUUUGGCUUAACCAAAAGGCGUCUAAGAGAUACCGGCAUUCUUGGAACUGGGAGAGGUAAGCCGUACUUCGGGGGUAGGAGUGAAUUCUUGUAAUCCUCGAGGGACGACCUAUGGCGAAGGCAGCUUACCAGAACAGCUUCGACAGUGAGGGACGAAAGCUGGGGGAGCAAACGGGAUUAGAUACCCCGGUAGUCCCAGCCGUAAACAAUGUGCGUUAGGUGUGUCGGUUACCACGCGUAACUGAUGCGCCGAAGAGAAAUCGUGAAACGCACCACCUGGGAAGUACGGUCGCAAGACUGAAACUUAAAGGAAUUGGCGGGG
rnacentral:rRNA from 1 species